GCCCCAAGUGUAGCCCCCCCUCGAUCUGCUGGCUGCAGCCGGGUGUACUUGAAAAUUAAACUUAACGAAAAAAAUCCCCCAAAAUAAGAGACAGGGGUAACUGCAGCCUGGAGCAAUGGGCGUGCCGAAAGGUAGGGGCGUGCCAAAAGGUUUCUCAUUGGUCAAAGGAGUUUUACUGUGUUGGCCAAUCAGUGGUAAAUAUACAUGUACGUAAUUUCCUUUAGACAAGAGAAGGUGGCAGGAUAAGACGUGAGGUAAUUAUUCAUUAUACGUUUAUCUAUACUUUAUAUACCACAAAUAUGUAUAUUAAGAUAGCUUGUUACAAUACGAUCAUAAUUUUCCCUGUACGUUAUAUCUUGCAGCUUUAGUCAUUGGUUUAUUGUUGUUGACCGACAUACUGUAUGUACAGUGAGACAAAACGAUGACCGCAUCUGCAUCGAGGGUGAAGACUUCAGAGCUGAUAGUUUGUAUCGGCGUCCUUUUUGUGCAAUACAGUACAGAAUACAUCCUGUAAGUAUAAUAAUUAUUACCACCUUUGCUAUUACAACUGUACUAAGAUCGAUUCACAAUCUAUGAAGACGAUUAGACAAAAUAAUAAAAAAAAAACUAAUUUAGAGUUUGUUUCUACCUUUCUGCUAGGUAUCCAACUAAUGCAGAGUAUAUUCAAGUUGCCAACACACUGGUUGUGAAGAACCCUUUCCAGAGAAAUAUAAAGGAAAUGACUGUGUAAGUUACAUUGUUUUAAUCCAUUGGUUUAUCUAUAUCAAAAUAAUCACACACAUUAUUGUAGUAACAAUAUAUUGUAAUCUUUAUUUGCUGGAAAAUGACAAUCAGUCAAAUUUGUGUUUUUAGCACACCUGACACAUAGUAUAUUCAAGUUGCCAACACACUGGUUGUGAAGAACCCUUUCCAGAGAAAUAUAAAGGAAAUGACUGUGAAACUUGUGUUGGGGAGUAUCAGAAAACACAUCCAGACACCUGGACUGUCAAAGACCACACGGCAGGAACAUUCUCCUGGAGACGCUGAGAAAGCACAGAAGGAAUGUCUGUGGAGGAUGUACUCAAACACACCCAUACUUAAGGACACCUGCUGGAGGGGACCCUGCUACACCCUUUCCUACCAUACAGCUGAUGGAUACUGACUGGAAAAUGGUAAUCAUAGGAGGAGGGCUCAGUGUGGUGACAGAAGAUGGAAUAGACGUGUGUCAGUGCACCAGACCUUAGAAUGAAGCCUUCAUAACAGCCUUCUGUAUGUAUUCUGCUUUCAACCUUGCAUAUCCAACACACCUGAGAAAGUACACUUGACUUUCCUUCAGAGGCACAAUGUCAACAUUAGAAGAUGGAGACAAACACUGCCAGUAACUUUCCUCUGAAUGAUUAGCCUUUUGUAUUCGAUCCUCAUGCCUCAACUUGUACCAUUACCCCGAGAAAGACACUGACUUUCCUUCAGAGGCACAUUGUCAACAUUGUGGAAGAUGGAGACAAGCACCGCCAGUAACUUUACUCUGAAUGAUUAGUCUUUUGAAUUAGAUCCUCAUCCCUAAACUGUGCCAUUACACAAAGUGCACUCGAAGGACA
rnacentral:lncRNA from 1 species